rnacentral:rRNA from 1 species
UAGGGGGCAAGCGUUGUCCGGAAUCAUUGGGCGUAAAGCGCGUGUAGGCGGCUAGAUAAGUCUGCUCUGAAAGCCCGGGGCUCAACCCCGGGAGGCGGGUGGAUACUGUCUAGCUCGAGUCCGGAAGAGGAGUGUGGAAUUCCUGGUGUAGCGGUGAAAUGCGCAGAUAUCAGGAGGAACACCAAUGGCGAAGGCAGCACUCUGGGACGUGACUGACGCUGAGACGCGAAAGCGUGGGGAGCAAACAGG